rnacentral:rRNA from 1 species
UACGGAGGGAGCUAGCGUUGUCCGGAAUUACUGGGUGUAAAGCGCGUGUAGGCGGGAGGCCAAGUCUGUGGUGAAAUCGCUCGGCUUAACUGGGCGGGGUCCAUGGAAACUGGUCACCUGGAGGUCGGUAGAGGCAAGUGGAAUUCCCGGUGUAGUGGUGAAAUGCGUAGAGAUCGGGAGGAACACCAGUGGCGAAGGCGGCUUGCUGGGCCGGACCUGACGCUGAGACGCGAAGGCGUGGGGAGCGAACGGG